CCUACGGGGGGCAGCAGUGGGGAAUAUUGGACAAUGGGGGGAACCCUGAUCCAGCCAUGCCGCGUGUGUGAAGAAGGCCCUCGGGUUGUAAAGCACUUUCAGUGAGGAAGAACGCCUGGUGGUUAAUACCCAUCAGGAAAGACAUCACUCACAGAAGAAGCACCGGCUAACUCCGUGCCAGCUGCCGCGGUAAUACGGAGGGUGCGAGCGUUAAUCGGAAUUACUGGGCGUAAAGCGCGCGUAGGUGGCUUGAUAAGCCGGUUGUGAAAGCCCCGGGCUCAACCUGGGAACGGCAUCCGGAACUGUCAAGCUAGAGUGCAGGAGAGGAAGGUAGAAUUCCCGGUGUAGCGGUGAAAUGCGUAGAGAUCGGGAGGAAUACCAGUGGCGAAGGCGGCCUUCUGGACUGACACUGACACUGAGGUGCGAAAGCGUGGGUAGCAAACAGGAUUAGAUACCCUAGUAGUC
rnacentral:rRNA from 1 species